rnacentral:misc_RNA from 1 species
GUAAGAUUCAAUGUUUUUUUUCUUCUUAUAAUCUGAAGAUUCCAAAAUUAAAAUAAUUUUUGAACUUAAUUUUAGGAUCACAAAAGAAAAGGAGUGGGGAGGGUGUGCAAAUAAAAAAAAGUGCUAGAUGGAAUGUGACACAAAUCUAGAUAAGGAUGAUGAGUCAUUGAAGUGGGACCUAUAAAAUAAAGUAUUCUAGCCUCGAGCUUCGUGAAAUUAUCACAAGGAGGCACAUUUUGGGGAUCGAAGUUAUAUUUACAUUCUCCAAGAAUGGGCAAAACUUGAGGUUACUUGCAUCAAGAUCAGAGCAACAAGUAAAUUUUCAAAUUUUAUCUUACCACAGUGAAAUUAAAUAAAAGUAACACUUGCAAUAUCUUGUUCAGUUGUUCUAAUAAUAAUAUCUUGUUUUCACAAAUGUCCAAAGGCAUGGGAAGAUGUCUCCAUACGGACAGCCUUACUGGGACCAAAAGUGAAAAGAGAUCGGAGUGCGAGCGACACGUGGGCCGUCAGAUCCAACCAUAACAUGUCUCUUUUACCUUUU